AGUGAACGCUGUCGGUAGGCCUAACACAUGCAAGUCGAACGGCAGCACAGUAAGAGCUUGCUCUUACGGGUGGCGAGUGGCGGACGGGUGAGGAAUACAUCGGAAUCUACUUUUUCGUGGGGGAUAACGUAGGGAAACUUACGCUAAUACCGCAUACGACCUACGGGGGAAAGCAGGGGAUCUUCGGACCUUGCGCGAUUGAAUGAGCCGAUGUCGGAUUAGCUAGUUGGCGGGGUAAAGGCCCACCAAGGCGACGAUCCGUAGCUGGUCUGAGAGGAUGAUACCCCAAACUGGAACUGAGACACGGUCCAGACCCCUACGGGGGGCAGAGGGGGGGAAUUUUGGAAAAGGGGGGAAAGCCUGACCCAGCCAUACCGGGGGGGGGAAGAAGGCCUUCGGGUUGUAAAGCCCUUUUGUUGGGAAAAAAAAGCAGCAGGUUAAACCCCCGCUGUUCGGACGGUACCAAAAAAAUAAGCACCGGCAAACUUCGU
rnacentral:rRNA from 1 species